rnacentral:rRNA from 1 species
AGCUAGAGUGCCGUAGGGGUAGAGGGAAUUCCCGGUGUAGCGGUGAAAUGCGUAGAGAUCGGGAAGAACAUCGGUGGCGAAAGCGCUCUACUGGACGGCAACUGACACUCAGGGACGAAAGCUAGGGGAGCGAAUGGGAUUAGAUACCCCAGUAGUCCUAGCUGUAAACGAUGGAUACUAGGUGUAGCUUGUAUCGACCCGAGCUGUGCCGAAGCUAACGCGUUAAGUAUCCCGCCUGGGGAGUACGCACGCAAGUGUGAAACUCAAAGGAAUUGACGGGGGCCCGCACAAGCGGUGGAGUAUGUGGUUUAAUUCGAUGCAACGCGAAGAACCUUACCAGGGCUUGACAUGUCCGGAAUCCCGGUGAAAGCUGGGAGUGCCUUCGGGAGCCGGAACACGGGUGGUGCAUGGCUGUCGUCAGCUCGUGUCGUGAGAUGUUGGGUUAAGUCCCGCAACGAGCGCAACCCUCGUCUUUAGUUGCCAGCAUUAAGUUGGGCACUCUAGAGAGACUGCCGGUGACAAACCGGAGGAAGGUGGGGAUGACGUCAAGUCAGCAUGCCCCUUACGCUCUGGGCGUCACACGUACUACAAUGGUCGGGACAGAGGGCAGCGAACCUGCGAAGGCAAGCUAAUCCCAGCAAACUCGGCCUCAGUUCAGAUCGCAGGCUGCAACUCGCCUGCGUGAAGGAGGAAUCGCUAGUAAUCGUCGGUCAGAAUACGGCGGUGAAUCCGUUCCCGGGCAUUGUACACACCGCCCGUCACACCAUGGAAGCUGGCCACGCCCGAAGUCGUUACCCUAACCUUUCGGGGAAGGGGACGCCGAAGGCAGGGUUGGUGACUGGGUGAAGUCGUAACAAG